GACCUAAUAGCGAAGUCGGUAUCGCAUCCACUCCCCAUUCCAUUGCGAUUAUGUCUGUGGAGGUCCCUCGUUCGAGCCGAGGUUAGGUCA